GCGCUGUCAUGUAUGAAAAAUGAACACGUACAAGAGGCGUGGAUACAUAAUUUUAAUGAAGAAUAAACACCAACAAGAGGCGUGGAUACCUACUGCUCAUUAUUUAAAGGUCGUAGUAUUUUUCGGUCUCAUUGUAAUGAAAAACAACAAUUAUUAAUAUACGUUCUUCGUGCAUGACAGUGCUUUCCACUUUAAUUCCCUGAGCGCGUCGCCGUAGAAACCAUCAGUAUCACCUCACCUGUGAGCCCGGUUGUUCCCACUGGUUCCUCGUUACCGUAAUUUAUCAGGGAGCAUCGACCAAUCAACCCACCUGGGUGAACAUGAGUUGAGCGUGUGCCAAACUUCCGAGGACGCGCGCAGUCAGAAUCAACAGACGGAUGAAUCGACGGAACCUGUAGCUCAGACUCAUAGCCCAAUUAAUUCACGGGGAGCUCCAGGUAGACUAUAGUUUGAUAGGUAUCUAGAUGAAACAUGUGUGUAGGCCAUAGCCUACUAAUCUUGAGUCCCCUGCCAAGUGAGAGGCGCGUCGCUUGGCUCCCCCAAAUUGACGGAUUACCGAGAUGCGCGUGCUGAUAAUGAUGAGUUCUGCGCGUACAGCUGCUGCUACUAUUCCGUUAUUAUUCUCCUCCCGGUCUAACGACACCGUUCCUUUAUUCUCCUGUCUGUGUUUGUAGCGCUACAGAAUGCAUCAAUACGCCAGCCAAGACAAGAUUCCUGGCGGGGGUGUUGGGCUAGCGGCCCCCCAGGAUGGCCAAAGUUCUUGUCAGUUCUUCUCAGAUGGUCGGAGGAAGGUGGACUAUGUUCUGGUGUUCUACCAACGCAAACAGAUCUCUGUGAGGGGUGGCGACCGGCUGCACCGUCUCUCCGCCCCUCCACACCCUCCUCAUCGCCUCUCUGUCAUCUCCAAUGGUAGCUCCCCCCUCUCCGGCCCUGUGGGGGGUGUAGGGCAGGGGGGUUUGGGAUGUGCAGCCGGGCAGCGGAGUGCGGGGGACGGGGAGGUGUGUGUGGACCUGGCGGUGGAGGUGGAAUUAGAGGCGGACCCAGCUGAAGGAGAGAUGGUGCUGAUCAGGGAGGAGUUUGAGGCCAGGCUACUGGAGGCGGGGCUUGAGAUGGAGAGAGACACCGAGGUCAGGGUCUACGGGCCCAGCUUCACGAGACUCCAUGUCCCCUGGCAGGUCCUGAGCAGAGAGGCAGAGUUCCUCAAGAUCAAAGUCCCCACUAAGAAGAGCUAUGAUCUGAAGCAGGAGAAUGGGUUCAGUGCCAGCCUCAGUGAGUUCUGGAGGAAGGUGAACCAGCCGUUCCAACCCAACAUCCCCCAGCUAGGCCACAGCACCACUAAGCAGCUCUCACACUGCUUCUCCAGGGACAAACUACACUUAUUUAACAUCACCUCUAAAGACACGUUCUUUGACAACGCAACACGCAGUCGAAUAGUGUACGAGAUCCUGAGACGCACCGCCUGCACACGCACCAGCCAAUCCAUGGGCAUCACCACAUUAAUAGCUAAAGGUGUCUAUGAUUCAGCCUUCCCUCUCCAUGAUGGGGAUUAUAAGGUCGUGGGUCACUCUGAGAGGAAUGACAGACAGCUGCUGCAUGAUGAGUGGGCCAGAUAUGGAGCCUUCUACAAAUACCAACCUGUGGACCUCAUCAGGAAGUACUUUGGGGAGAAGAUCGGUCUGUACUUUGCCUGGCUGGGCGUCUACACUCAGCUGCUCAUACCAGCCUCUAUGGUUGGGAUUAUCGUCUUCUGCUACGGCUGUUACACUGUGGAUAUGGACGUACCCAGCCUGGAGAUGUGUGAUAAGCAGCAGAACUUCACGAUGUGUCCUCUGUGUGACGGAGUGUGUGACUACUGGCACCUGUCCACCGCCUGUGGCACCGCCCGCGCAUCCCACCUGUUCGACAACCCUGCCACCGUCUUCUUCGCUAUCUUCAUGUCCCUCUGGGUUGCGACGUUCCUGGAGCACUGGAAGCGUCGUCAGAUCAGUUUGAACCACAGCUGGGACCUCACAGGACUAGAGGAAGAGGAGGACCACCCGAGGCCCAAGUAUGAAACCAUCCUGCUCCAGAAGAGACAGAUGAUGAGGAACAAGGAGAAGAAGAACGAGAAAAAGAAGAAGAAGAAGAAGAUUGAGCCUGUGCAGCGGGAGGAGGACGUGGCGGCAGGGAAAGACAGGUGGAGACAGAAGUUACUGUCUGCUAUGAACACUGGGACAUCGACAGGUGUGGAGAAGCUGACCUGGAGGGACCGUCUGCCUGGAUACCUCAUCAACAUCUCCUCCAUCCUCUUUAUGUUUGGGCUGACGUUCUCUGCGGUUUUCGGUGUGAUCGUGUAUCGUAUUGUCGUUUCCGCUCUAAUGGCGAUGUCACCUGACCCGGAGACCAAGUCUAACGUGCGUGUCACCGUCACGGCAACCGCUGUCAUCAUCAACCUGGUGGUCAUUCUGAUACUGGAUGAGAUCUAUGGAGCUGUGGCCGUCUGGCUCACUGAGCUGGAAAUUCCAAGGACAGAGAGUAACUUUGAGCAGCAUCUGAUUCUGAAGGCUUUUCUACUGAAGUUCAUGAACGCCUACGCCCCCAUAUUCUAUGUAGCUUUCUUUAAGGGACGGUUUGCAGGCAGGCCGGGAGACUACGUCUAUGUUUUUAAUGACUACCGGAUGGAGGAGUGUGCCCCUGGAGGUUGUUUAAUAGAGUUAUGUAUUCAGCUCAGCAUCAUCAUGGUGGGGAAACAACUCAUUCAGAACAAUGUAUUUGAGAUCGGCAUCCCUAAGUUGAAGAAAUUGAUCCGAGCAUGGAAGGGUAAGGGGAUUUCAUUGGAGGAGAGAGAGGAGCAGCGUGCCAGACCUCCUCAACAGUGGAACCUCGACUACACCCUGGUCCCCUUUGAAGGACUGACCCCCGAGUACAUGGAGAUGAUUAUCCAGUUUGGUUUUGUUUCUCUGUUUGUCGCGUCGUUCCCUCUGGCUCCUCUCUUCGCUCUUCUCAACAACGUGAUCGAGAUCCGCCUCGAUGCCAAGAAGUUUGUCACCGAGCUGCGACGACCGGACGCUGUCCAAGCCAAAGACAUCGGAAUCUGGUACAACAUCCUGAGUGGAAUGGGAAAGUUCUCUGUCAUUAUAAAUGCGUUCGUGAUCUCGUUUACCUCAGACUUCAUUCCCAGGCUGGUGUACCAGUACAUGUACAGUCAGACAGGCACCAUGCACGGCUUCAUAGACCACACCCUCUCUCACUUCAACGUGUCCAACUUCAGACCCGGCAACGCCCCCACCUCCUCAUACCUCUCUGAGACCACCGUCUGCAGGUAUAAGGACUACAGAGAGCCUCCAUGGUCAGCUGAAGCCUACCAGUUCUCUAAAACCUACUGGGCUGUCCUUGCUGCCAGACUGGCCUUCGUCAUCCUGUUCCAGAACCUGGUGAUGUUCCUGAGCCUGCUGGUUGCCUGGGUGAUCCCAGACGUACCGAAGAACAUCAGUGAGCAGCUGAAGAGAGAGAAGACUCUGCUGGUGGACGUGUUCCUCCGGGAGGAGAAGGAGAAGUUCCACCUCCUCCAGAGCCUCUUUUCCUCCAAGGACCUGCCCAGCCAGGGUCACCCCGACACGGCCCACUUCCGUACUCUACCCCUAGGCCUCUCUCAGGGCCUAGGCCAGCCCCCGGGCGGAGAGGGAGGGGAAUCCCGGGUGAGAUGCAGGGCUGCCAGUUUCAGCCAGUUCACCAGACAGAUGUCCAUGUCUCCUAGCAACAACGCAGGCCGACAGAUGUCCAUGUCUCCUAGCAACGACGCAGCCCGACACACAGCGGUCUGACACGCUGCUGUAGCGGUUGGAUACAAACGAUCUUUAUCCCCACAGGAGAAGUUCAGACACUAGUGUGGUAGCUACAUGGAGUCUGAAUGCUCCUCUGUAUCUCUCACCCAUGUAGACUUGGUGUUCUCUUUCUGAAGCAGUGUGAUGCUGGAACAUACUGAUCAUGGAUUUGUUCUUCUGGCCGGAUAAUCUACAUAUUCUUGACCAUUGUAUGUUAAUCUGCAUGAUGAGAAGUGACUGUAUAGUUCCCUUAAGGAAAAACACCUUCAGCCUGACGGUCUUCUCUGAGAGAGCUUCCCAUGUCUGGAACACACAUGGAGCUGCUGUUUACGGUACCUUCACCAAUAACCUAAAGACAUGGCUAACGGACAGUCAGGUGUGUCAACACCAUCCCCAGCUGUGUAGACCUGCAUGUUGUCUGCUAUACAGUGUUGGCUCUUUUUCUGUCAUGCUGUUUGGUUGCUUUUUGUGUUGUUGCUUUCUGUCUGUGUUAAGUGUUACUGGUCAUAUGUUGCUCUGUCUGUCUGUCUGUGUCUCUGUCUGUGUGUUACAGGUCAUAUGUUGCUCUGUCUAUGUUACUGGUUAUAUGUUGCUCUGUCUGUCUGUGUCUCUGUCUGUCUGUGUGUUACAGGUCAUAUGUUGCUCUGUCUAUGUUACUGGUUAUAUGUUGCUCUGUCUGUCUGUGU